rnacentral:rRNA from 1 species
CUCGUAGGCGGUUCGUCGCGUCCGGUGUGAAAGUCCAUCGCUUAACGGUGGAUCUGCGCCGGGUACGGGCGGGCUGGAGUGCGGUAGGGGAGACUGGAAUUCCCGGUGUAACGGUGGAAUGUGUAGAUAUCGGGAAGAACACCAAUGGCGAAGACAGGUCUCUGGGCCGUUACUGACGCUGAGGCUCGAAAGCCAGGGGAGCGAACG